rnacentral:rRNA from 1 species
UACGUAGGGGGCGAGCGUUAUCCGGAUUUAUUGGGUGUAAAGGGUGCGUAGGCGGUUUGUUAAGUCUAAAAUCAAAGUCCGAGGCUCAACCUCGGUUCGUUUUAGAAACUGGCAGACUUGAGUAUGGUAGAGGCAAGUGGAAUUUCUAGUGUAGCGGUUAAAUGCGUAGAUAUUAGAAGGAACACCAGUGGCGAAGGCGUCUUGCUGGGCCAUUACUGACGCUGAGGCACGAAAGCGUGGGGAGCAAAUA